UACGAAGGGGCUAGCGUUGCUCGGAAUCACUGGGCGUAAAGGGUGCGUAGGCGGGUCUUUAAGUCAGGGGUGAAAUCCUGGAGCUCAACUCCAGAACUGCCUUCGAUACUGGAGAGCUUGAGUCCGGGAGAGGUGAGUGGAACUGCGAGUGUAGAGGUGAAAUUCGUAGAUAUUCGCAAGAACACCAGUGGCGAAGGCGGCUCGCUGGCCCGGUACUGACGCUGAGGUGCGAAAGCGUGGGGAGCAAACAGGAU
rnacentral:rRNA from 1 species